GAGGAUAUAGCUUAAUGGUGGAGUGCAUGUUUAGCAUGCAUGAGGUCCUGGGUUCAAUUCCCAAUACCACCU
rnacentral:tRNA from 1 species